rnacentral:rRNA from 1 species
GAUGAACGCUGGCGGCGUGCCUAAUACAUGCAAGUCGAGCGAACAGACGAGGAGCUUUCUCCUCUGACGUUAGCGGCGGACGGGUGAGUAACACGUGGAUAACCUACCUAUAAGAAUGGGAUAACUUCGGGAAACCGGAGCUACUACCGGAUAAUAUAUUGAACCGCAUGGUUCAAUAGUGAAAGACGGUUUUGCUGUCACUUAUAGAUGGAUCCGCGCCGCAUUAGCUAGUUGGUAAGGUAACGGCUUACCAAGGCGACGAGGCGUAGCCGACCUGAGCGGGUGAACGGCCACACGGUAACUGAGAAACGGUCCAGACUCCGACGGGAAGCAGCAGUAGGGAAUCUUCCGCGAUGGGGGAAAGCGUGAUGGAGCAACGCCGCGUGAGUGAUGAAGGUCUUCGGAUCGUAGAGCUCUGUUAUUAGGGAAGAAGAAAUGUGUAAGUAACUAGGCACGUCUUGACGGUACCUAAACAGAAAGCCACGGCUAACUACGUG